GUUCUUACUAUGUGGCAGUAUCGUAGCCAAUGAGGUUUAUCCGAGGCGCGAUUAUUGCUAAUUGAAACUAUGUGUCCCGCGAUGCCCUCAAGGCUGAAUGUACAUUAUCGCAAUUUUCCUGGGGGUAAGGUAUUAUUUCC